rnacentral:rRNA from 1 species
UUCCAGACUCCUACGGGAGGCAGCAGUGGGGAAUAUUGCACAAUGGGGGAAACCCUGAUGCAGCGACGCCGCGUGAGUGAAGAAGUAUUUCGGUAUGUAAAGCUCUAUCAGCAGGGAAGAUAAUGACGGUACCUGAGUAAGAAGCCCCGGCUAACUACGUGCCAGCAGCCGCGGUAAUACGUAGGGGGCAAGCGUUAUCCGGAUUUACUGGGUGUAAAGGGAGCGUAGACGGCAUGGCAAGUCUGAAGUGAAAGCCCGGGGCUCAACCGCGGGACUGCUUUGGAAACUGUUAAGCUGGAGUGCAGGAGAGGUAAGUGGAAUUCCUAGUGUAGCGGUGAAAUGCGUAGAUAUUAGGAGGAACACCAGUGGCGAAGGCGGCUUACUGGACUGUAACUGACGUUGAGGCUCGAAAGCGUGGGGAGCAAACAGGAUUAGAUACCCGCGUAU